rnacentral:rRNA from 1 species
GAUGAACGCUGGCGGCGUGCCUAAUACAUGCAAGUCGAGCGAACAGACGAGGAGCUUGCUCCUCUGACGUUAGCGGCGGACGGGUCAGUAACACGUGGAUAACCUACCUAUAAGACUGGGAUAACUUCGGGAAACCGGAGCUAAUACCGGAUAAUAUAUUGAACCGCAUGGUUCAAUAGUGAAAGACGGUUUUGCUGUCACUUAUAGAUGGAUCCGCGCCGCAUUAGCUAGUUGGUAAGGUAACGGCUUACCAAGGCAACGAUGCGUAGCCGACCUGAGAGGGUGAUCGGCCACACAGGAACUGAGACACGGUCCAGAAUCCUACGGGAGGCAGCAGGAGGGAAUCUUCCGCAAUGGGCGAAAGCCUGACGGUGCAACGCCGCGUGAGUGAUGAAGGUCUUCGGAUCGUAAAACUCUGUUAUUAGGGAAGAACAAAUGUGUAAGUAACGAUGCACGUCUUGACGGUACCUAAUCAGAAAGCCACGGCUGACUACGU